UCGCCUGCAAAAUGACGCUUCUGC
rnacentral:siRNA from 1 species